AGGCCUGAGACGGCGCAGUCGAGCACCACGAGCAGUCGAGACCCCGCAGCUGCAGGCCGUAGUGGAGGCGACGGCGGCGACGGCGGGGCGGUGCGAGACAACGGCGACGCGACCGACUCCAACCCUACGUCCUUCCCCUUCUUCGUCCUUCUCGCCGAUCUCUCCUCCACCAUUUAGAGUUGGGGAAGGUGAACCUCCGCCUUCUUGGGAUCCAGUACCAACUCCAGAAGUUCUACAAUGAGUCUAUCACUGCGAGAUCGCAUUAGAAAGAGGAGGGAGGAGGAAGAUGAUGACAUGAUGCUAUUUAUUUUCCCUGCCUUAUAUCUUAUGAGUUCUGUUAGAGGGGGAGAAAGGAGGAAACGCCAUACUUCGGAAGAAACAGGCGAGGCACAUGGCUUUGACAGUUCUUAAAAGAUAUUGCUGGGAGCUUGUUGUUUUGCUUCAUACGAUUAAGUGGAGUAUUGGAAGGCUAGAUUACGUUCUUUUUUUAUUUUUGCAUUUAAUGGAGUUUUGAUCUGGUUGAUGUUGUCUUUGGGUAUUUUUGUAAUUUAUAUUUUGGAUCUAGGAAGCAUUUCAAGUUUAAACAUGAUAUUAGCACUUUGAGUCUGAGUGACCGUAGACAUUUUUUGGAAAAAGAUGAGUGGUCAUGCACAUGUGUGCGCCUUUGAGCCGGUGAUCACGCCGUGCAAGUAGCCAGGAAAAAUUUUGCUUUUACCAUCUUGACAGUUUGCAAAUGUAAGGCUAAAGUCAGCUGAGAUUUUGACAA